AGCACGGCUUCGCAGCGCGCAGACGGGGAGCUUGCUCCCAAUGAUGAUGCAAGGAAAGUCCCCGUGCCUUGGUGCAGAGAGUGCGUGUGGGAGACUGCAAGGCACAGGUCAGGCUUCCA
rnacentral:RNase_MRP_RNA from 1 species